rnacentral:rRNA from 1 species
GGCUGCUUACACAUGCAGUCGAACGGUGAAGCCAAGCUUGCUUGGUGGAUCAGUGGCGAACGGGUGAGUAACACGUGAGCAACCUGCCCUGGACUCUGGGAUAAGCGCUGGAAACGGCGUCUAAUACUGGAUAUGAGACGUGAUCGCAUGGUCGUGUUUGGAAAGAUUUUUCGGUCUGGGAUGGGCUCGCGGCCUAUCAGCUUGUUGGUGAGGUAAUGGCUCACCAAGGCGUCGACGGGUAGCCGGCCUGAGAGGGUGACCGGCCACACUGGGACUGAGACACGGCCCAGACUCCUACGGGAGGCAGCAGUGGGGAAUAUUGCACAAUGGGCGAAAGCCUGAUGCAGCAACGCCGCGUGAGGGAUGACGGCCUUCGGGUUGUAAACCUCUUUUAGCAGGGAAGAAGCGAAAGUGACGGUACCUGCAGAAAAAGCGCCGGCUAACUACGUGCCAGCAGCCGCGGUAAUACGUAGGGCGCAAGCGUUAUCCGGAAUUAUUGGGCGUAAAGAGCUCGUAGGCGGUUUGUCGCGUCUGCUGUGAAAUCCCGAGGCUCAACCUCGGGCCUGCA